rnacentral:Y_RNA from 1 species
GGCUGGUCCGAAGGUAGUGAGUUAUCUCACUUGAUUGUUCAGUCAGUUACAGAAUGAACUCCUUGAACUCCUUGUUCUACUACUUUCCCCCCUUCUCACUACUGCACUUGACUAGUCAAAA